rnacentral:lncRNA from 1 species
AAUUAAAAUAGUUAAAAUUAAAAUAAAAACUAAUUAACCUAUUUAUUUAUUCUAGACCCAAUAUAAAAAUAAAUAGACUCAAAAAAAAAAAAGUCGGGCACCAAAAUGCUCGAAAAUAAAAUGAACACGUCAAAAUAAUCAGCGCGAAAUAAAUGACUCGGAAAAAUACAGCGUUUGGUCGGAUUUUGAAAUAAAAAUUAUGACCGUUUAAACUGCUCAGACUGAUCA